rnacentral:misc_RNA from 1 species
AUCAUUAUUGAAUUUUAAUGAGGAGUUGGUUGUUGCUGGCCUUGGGAUUUUUUUAAUUAAUUAUUCCAGGGCACUUGUGCACACCUUCUCUUUCAUCCACACACACCUGUGCACUUGUGAGACAGAUGUGGGGACUUUAUUGAACCCCGUCUGUCUACUUAAUUUACACACACUCUAUUUAAUUUAAACUGAAUGUAAUUGAUGUAACGCAUCUAAUACU